UCACGUUCUGCCAGCUUGGUCGCAAUUCGCAGCAUGGAACGGCGCAUCAGGG
rnacentral:sRNA from 1 species